rnacentral:rRNA from 1 species
ACGCUUAAAGUCAGUCGCGUUGGCUUGAAAUCAGCCUUGCUUUUGCUUGGUGUAUUUUCUGGUUGAUGGGUCAGCAUCAAUUUUGACCACUGGGUAAAGUCUUUGGGAAUGUGGCAUCUUCGGAUGUGUUAUAGCCCAUUGUCGCAUACAGUGGUUGGGAUUGAGGAACUCAGCACGCCGAAAGGCCGGGUUUCGACCACGUUCGUGCUUAGGAUGCUGGCAUAAUGGCUUUAAUCGACCCGUCUUGAAACACGGACCAAGGAGUC